GAGCAGCACCGCCCAUAGCCCACAGCCCAUAGCCCCAUAGCCCACAGCCCACGGUCCCCCCUCCCGCGGGGCUGAGGAACACGGUGGCCACCAGCAGCAAAACCCUCAGGACGGGCUGAGGUGGCCGCGAGUGCUGGUGCCGGACACGGCAGGAGGCUGAGGGGUUCUCUGGGGGGCUCCGGGUUCCACCCCAGAGCACACAAACCCCGAGAAGGACACCCUUAUGGUGCACCUACAGGAUAAGAGAGAAAUCCUCCUGACUUUACAGUGAAUGGGAAAAGGAGUCCAUUACACUGAGUCAUCUUUACAAGGCUGCCGAUGGCCCUGAUAGGAAUCUCUGCAGAGAAGGAGGAGGAUGCACUGUGGGAUACAAAGGGGCACCAUUGGCUUCAGCACCAGCAGUGCUCCUGUGUGACUGUGCCUGCACUGCACAGACUCGCCAGGACAGGUUUUGUCAGAUCUCCCUCAGUCUCACAGAGUGGUCGAGAGACAAGACUAUUGCAGAAGAGCUCACCAUCACCUUGACAUUCAAGUGCCUGUUUAAAGAGAAAAACUAAUGGAGAAUAAGACACCAUUUUCGCUGGGUAAUCUGUUGUCAUCUCAUCUGCAUGUGUUGUUAAAAUAGUAUUCAUUGCUAAUAAAGCUUUAAGUCUUAAUUUUUUUUCUGUGUUGCUCUUGUCUGUUAAACAGCUCUUAGUUUACAGUGUUUUGUGCCUCUGAUAACACUUAUGUGCUAUAAUCAAACUUAAUUUCAAAGCAAGGAUAAACUAAAUAGAUCCCUGUAAAUCUCAGUAUACUGAAGUAGCUUGUAAGACAGCAUCAAAUGAUGCAUCAGAAUCUUGUGUACAUGUCAUAAAAAAAGACAAAAUGUGAAACUGAGUUUUUCCACAUUUUGAGUUUAUUCAGAAUUAAGUUGGGUUUGUUAUAUUAUUAUCACUAGCACUAUUAUUGCUGUUGUUUUCCUUCUUCUUGUUGUUAAACAUACAUAGCCAAUUUCUUGAUUAAUUCUAUCAUUCAAACCUGCAAAAGCUCAUUCCAGAAUAAAUAUAUUCUAGAAAAUAUUAUUCAGUCUGGAAAUGCUAAAUAGUAGUUGUGAAAUUUAAAAAAAAAAAAAAAGCAUUUUCGAGAUAAAUGUUAAUUCAUUGUAUUUUCAUAUAAUGACAUAGUAUUUCAAAGAAAUAGGAUUGCUUUUUCCUAAAUAACCUCAUUUAAAUUCUACUUUCAAGCAAAGCUAUAUUAAUCCUUUGUUGUUAUUAUGUGUCCAAAAUUCUUACUAGAGACAGAAGGUUCCCAUCAGUGCUUGGCACUUUGUCACAACACAGAGUUGGUGUAAAUUUAAAUAUGCAGAGAGGACCUUGGCAGUGGCUGCAGUGUUCUGAUAGCACAGCCAAGUUUCAGGUGGUUUGAUUUCCAGGGAAACAGGCUGGCUCUACCUACAGUAUUCCCUCCAUCUCCAUUAUGUGCUGUACAUCUCUAUU